GUUUGAUCCUGGCUCAGGAUGAACGCUAGCGGCAGGCUUAAUACAUGCAAGUCGAACGGGAUUCGGGGUAGCAAUACUUUGAUGAGAGUGGCGCACGGGUGCGUAACGCGUAUGCAACCUACCUUUAACAGGGGAAUAGCCCCGAGAAAUCGGGAUUAAUACUCCGUAACAUUGCGGUGUGGCAUCACACUGCACUUAAAGCUGAGGCGGUUAAAGAUGGGCAUGCGUGACAUUAGCUAGUUGGUGAGGUAACGGCUCACCAAGGCAACGAUGUCUAGGGGUCCUGAGAGGGUUAUCCCCCACACUGGUACUGAGACACGGACCAGACUCCUACGGGAGGCAGCAGUAAGGAAUAUUGGUCAAUGGGCGCAAGCCUGAACCAGCCAUGCCGCGUGCAGGAAGACGGCCCUAUGGGUUGUAAACUGCUUUUGUCAGGGAAUAAACCCCCGCUCGUGAGCGGGGCUGAAGGUACCUGAAGAAUAAGCAUCGGCUAACUCCGUGCCAGCAGCCGCGGUAAUACGGAGGAUGCAAGCGUUAUCCGGAUUCAUUGGGUUUAAAGGGUGCGCAGGCGGAUUGGUAAGUCAGGGGUGAAAUCCCACAGCUCAACUGUGGAACUGCCUUUGAUACUGUCAGUCUAGAGUAUAGUUGAAGUUGGCGGAAUGUGUCAUGUAGCGGUGAAAUGCUUAGAUAUGACACAGAACACCGAUCGCGAAGGCAGCUAGCUAAGCUAUAACUGACGCUCAUGCACGAAAGCGUGGGGAUCAAACAGGAUUAGAUACCCUGGUAGUCCACGCUGUAAACGAUGAUUACUCGAUGUUGGCGAUACACAGUCAGCGUCUGAGCGAAAGCAAUAAGUAAUCCACCUGGGGAGUACGAUCGCAAGAUUGAAACUCAAGGAAUUGACGGGGGCCCGCACAAGCGGAGA
rnacentral:rRNA from 1 species